GGGACAGCUCCAGACCCUCGUCAGUCUCCGUCUCCCCGGACCACAAACUCACAUCCUCUGCACCGGUCAGAGAACUUCCUGGUGGACACUCUGCUUCCUGCCGCCUGCUUUCCUCUCGCCCCUCCUGGAUCUUCUUCUUCAACUUCUUCUUCUUCUUCUUGGGUCCUCAAGGUCUGGACGGGCAGCAGAGAGAACACAGACAGAAGCCCCGUCAUUGCAAAGUAGCAGUUGGGUAAAAGACUGCUGAAAACUCUAAACAGGAGACGACAGAGGGACUGAAUGAGUGACCAUUAGAAAAAGUGGAUUCAAAUAAGGCGACGCGUAAACACACACUGCUCGUUUGUGAGUGCACACAGACACACACAAACACAAAGACACACUUCUCACUCCCUUGGAGCCCAGAGGAAACACUACUAUCUUUGUGCUGCUAUGGCAACAGGUGCACCUGAGGCACAGAGACAUGCACAAGCAACAGCUCCCCCUGCUGGAGGAACAGCAGAAACGCAGCUCCCUCUCCAGCCGCUCCUUCUCCAACUCGUGCAGCCAGCCGGGAGAACAUAUGGG